AGUGGAUGGGGAGCAACCUAGUUGUGCGUGUGUAAAGGUAGUGCCAAGAAAAGCGAUGAUCAUGUUGAAAAUCAAUUCCCGGUACCCGAAACCGACACAGGUGGGCAAGUAGAGAAUACUAAGGGGCGCGAGGUAACUCUCUCCAAGGAACUCGGCAAAAUGACCCCGUAACUUAGGGAGAAGGGGUGCCACCGAGAGGUGGUCGCAGUGAAGAGGCCCAGGCGACUGUUUAGCAAAAACAUAGGUCUCUGCAAACUCGAAAGAGGAGGUAUAGGGGCUGACGCCUGCCCAGUGCCGGAAGGUUAAAGAAGUUGGUCAGUUUUAGGAUGAAGCUAGCGACUGAAGCCCCGGUGAACGGCGGCCGUAACUAUAACGGUCCUAAGGUAGCGAAAUUCCUUGUCGGGUAAGUUCCGACCCGCACGAAAGGCGUAACGAUCUUGGCGCUGUCUCGGAGAGAGGCUCGGCGAAAUAGGAUUGUCUGUGAAGAUACGGACUACCUGCAUUUGGACAGAAAGACCCUAUGAAGCUUUACUAUAGCUUGGAAUUGUUCGGGCUUCCUGUGCGCAGGAUAGGUGGGAGGCGUAGAAGGUAUUCUUGUGGGGAUACUGGAGCCAACGGUGAGAUACCACUCUCAGGAGGCUAGAAUUUUAACUUAAUUAAGGACAGUUUCAGGUGGGUAGUUUGACUGGGGCGGUCGCCUCCAAAAAGGUAACGGAGGCGUACAAAGGUUCCCUCAGACUGGUUGGAAAUCAGUCGAAGAGUGCAAAGGCAGAAGGGAGCUUGACUGCGAGAAGUACAGUUCGAGCAGGGUGGAAACACGGUCUUAGUGAUCCGACGGUGCUGUGUGGAAGGGCCGUCGCUCAACGGAUAAAAGUUACUCUAGGAUAACAGGCUGAUCUCCCCCAAGAGUUCACAUCGACGGGGAGGUUUGGCACCUCGAUGUCGGCUCAUCGCAACCUGGGGCGGAAGUACGUCCCAAGGGUUGGGCUGUUCGCCCAUUAAAGCGGUACGUGAGCUGGGUUCAGAACGUCGUGAGACAGUUCGGUCCAUAUCCGAUGUAGGCGUGAGAAUAUUGAGAGGAGCCUUCCUUAGUACGAGAGGACCGGGAAGGACGCACCGCUGGUGUACCUGUUAUGAUGCCAAUUGUAAACGCAGGGUAGCCAAGUGCGGAGAGGAUAACCGCUGAAAGCAUCUAAGUGGGAAGCCCACCUCAAGAUGAGUAUUCUGGUGUAAGGUCACGGGAAGACGACCCGUAAAUAGGCACGAGGUGGAAGUGCAGAGAUGUAUGAAGCCGAAGUGUACUAAUAGACCGUCGGCUUGACC
rnacentral:rRNA from 1 species